GACGAACGCUGGCGGCGUGCUUAACACAUGCAAGUCGAACGGUGAAAGCGGAGCUUGCUCCGCUGGAUCAGUGGCGAACGGGUGAGUAACACGUGGGCAACCUGCCCCUCACUUCGGGAUAACUCCGGGAAACCGGGGCUAAUACCGGAUAUGACCUCCUUGGGCAUCCUUGGAGGUGGAAAGUUUUGCGGUGAGGGAUGGGCCCGCGGCCUAUCAGCUUGUUGGUGAGGUAGUGGCUCACCAAGGCGACGACGGGUAGCCGGCCUGAGAGGGCGCACGGCCACAAUGGGACUGAGACACGGCCCAGACGCCUACUGGAGGCAGGAGUGGGGAAUAUGGCGCAAUGGGCGACAGCCUGACGCAGCCACGCCGCGGGCGGGAUGACGGCCUUCGGGUUGUAACCCGCUUUCAGCAGGGAAGAAGCCGCAAGGUGACGGUACCUGCAGAAGAAGCACCGGCUAACUACGUGCCAGCAGCCGCCGUAA
rnacentral:rRNA from 1 species